AAUCAGAUGUGCUCAGGCCCUGACUAAGAAGCUUAAUUAUUCCUGGAACUUAGGAAGAGAUAAGAUACCUUCAAAAAUUUAUCUAAUUUAUGACUUCCCUACUCCAUGUAGACUUUCCUAUGGACAGUAAGGAGCUGUACAUCUUGGAAAAUACAAUUAUUGGUGUCUGUAAAUCCUGUGCUAACAACACCUAGUACCAGGAACACAAAAUACAGAUUUCUGAAACCGGCUCAAAUAAUUCCAGAAAUUCUUCUGUGGCUUUGAAGCAUCUUCCAGAAAAGCUCUGUCAAGUGAUACAGGAUUUUAUUGUGAUUAAAGAAACAACUCCUAGUAUGCCUCAGAAGCAGAGUGGCCAGCCAGUAAACGGAGGUGAUGAUUCUCCCCCUCUACUCCACUCUGAUGAGAUCCCUCCUGGAGUACUGCAUCCAGCUUCUUCCAACAUUAGAAGAAUAUGACCUGCCAUGAAGAUAAUUAAGGGGCUGGAGCACCUCUCCCAGGACACACAGAAUGUUGGGAAUGUUCAGACUGGAAAAGAGAAGGCUCCAGAGAGACUUUACAGCUCCUUCCACUACCUAAAGGGGGCCUAUAAGAGAAAUGCAGUCACUUUUUACUAGGAUUUGUACUGACAGGACAAGGGGGAAUAGCUUUAAACUGAAAGGGGGCAGAGUUAGAUUAGGCCUUAGGGAGAAAUCCUUCACUAUGCGAGCAGUGAGGCACUGGAACACAUUGCUCAAUUCAAGGAGGUAAAACUCACGACAACUAAAACUAAAGGGAAAUAUGAAGACCAGAAUCAGCUCAGCACUGAGGGAGACAAAUUAGAGUUUUGGCAUUUGAAAGGUGCUGGAAUCAC